GCCCCCGUAGCUCAGGGGAUAGAGCACCGGCCUCCGGAGCCGGUGGCGCAGGUUCGAAUCCUGCCGGGGGUACCA
rnacentral:tRNA from 1 species